rnacentral:rRNA from 1 species
ACGAACGCUGGCGGCGCGCUUAACACAUGCAAGUCGAACGGAAAGGCCUGCUUUCCCUUGUGGAUUGCGGGUACUCGAGUGGCGAACGGGUGAGUAACACGUGAGUGAUCUGCCCCCAACUUGGGUAUAAGCCUGGGAAACUGGGUCUAAUUCCCGAUAGGACUGCAGGGUGGUGCCUGUGGUGGAAAACGAUUUUCUAGUGGUUGGGGAUGAGCUCGCGGCCUAUCAGCUUGUUGGUGGGGUAAUGGCCUACCAAGGCGGCGACGGGUAGCCGGCCUGAGAGGGUGGACGGCCACAUUGGGACUGAGAUACGGCCCAGACUCCCACGGGAGGCAGCAGUGGGGAAUAUUGCACAAUGGGCGGAAGCCUGAUGCAGCGACGCCGCGUGGGGGAUGACGGCCUUCGGGUUGUAAACUCCUUUCGACCGCGAGGAAGCCACCUGGUUGGAAGGGUGGUGACGGUAGUGGUAGAAGAAGCACCGGCUAACUACGUG